GUGCAUGAGACACUGCCAUUGUUUGGACCAAGCAUUCUGCGCGAGUGGCUCUGCACCCCUAGCUGGGAGGCUGCCGGGGACUGCGCACUUGGAGGAGUGGAUGUUGCCUUUGCAUCAAAUGCCCUUCCAUGACAACCAAACAUUUCUACUGAUAUAAAUGGGCUGCUUUAAAUGCAUUUAGAAGUUGAUGUGGCCACAACGUAGUCAGUGGAGGAAAGGGUUUUUUGCAGUUAUGUUGUCACAAUGAGCUGGAACAUGCACAGGGCAGUGAGGGCUGUGCAGGUGCCCUUGAGUGAACAGAAGUGUGACAAGGAUGUACCUUGACAAACAUUGAGCUGAUGGCAGGAUGGACUGUUCUGUGUUUCUAAUUAGUGACUUUCCUCUUCUUACAAGUUCUGGAAAGAGUGACUUCUGCCCAGUGAAAGCUGUUUCCUGUUGUCUUUCUGGCACUGUGAUGGCUCUUCUAUGUGCUGCCAAGGCUUUGUGUUCAGUCAAGAUAUGUGAGUAUUGAAAAUUGUCUUGGUAUUUUUCGAUUCAAAAAAUAACUGUAGGUAAGUCAAUAAUAGGUUGAUUAGCUUUCUCUGGAGAUGUACCUUUUUAGUGUCUACUUACUGAUUUCUUC